rnacentral:rRNA from 1 species
UACGUAGGAGGCGAGCGUUGUCCGGAGUACUGGGCGUAAAGCGCACGCAGGCGGUCCUAUUAGUCUGGGGUGACAGUUCCCGGCUUAACCGGAAAAGGACUCUGGAAACUGUAGGACUUGAGGGCUUCAGAGGGAUGUGGAAUUCCAGGUGGAGUGGUGAAAUGCGUAGAGAUCUGGAGGAACACCGAUGGCGAAGGCAGCCUUCUGGGCCAACACUGACGCUCAUGCACGAAAGCGUGGGGAGCAAACAGG